GAUGAGCAUGCGUCCCAUUAGCUAGUUGGUAUGGUAACGGCAUACCAAGGCGACGAUGGGUAGGGGUCCUGAGAGGGAGAUCCCCCACACUGGUACUGAGACACGGACCAGACUCCUACGGGAGGCAGCAGUGAGGAAUAUUGGACAAUGGGCGCAAGCCUGAUCCAGCCAUGCCGCGUGCAGGAUGACGGUCCUAUGGAUUGUAAACUGCUUUUGCACAGGAAGAAACAACUCUACGUGUAGAGUCUUGACGGUACUGUGAGAAUAAGGAUCGGCUAACUCCGUGCCAGCAGCCGCGGUAAUACGGAGGAUCCAAGCGUUAUCCGGAAUCAUUGGGUUUAAAGGGUCCGUAGGCGGUCUUAUAAGUCAGUGGUGAAAUCUCCCCGCUCAACGGGGAAACGGCCAUUGAUACUGUAGGACUUGAAUUAUUAGGAAGUAACUAGAAUAUGUAGUGUAGCGGUGAAAUGCUUAGAGAUUACAUGGAAUACCAAUUGCGAAGGCAGGUUACUACUAAUGGAUUGACGCUGAUGGACGAAAGC
rnacentral:rRNA from 1 species